rnacentral:tRNA from 2 species
GGUCUCGUGGCCCAAUGGCAAGGCGUCUGACUACGAAUCAGGAGAUUGUGGGUUCGACCCCCACCGAGACCU